GAGUAAUGUCUGGGAAACUGCCUGAUGGAGGGGGAUAACUACUGGAAACGGUAGCUAAUACCGCAUAACGUCGCAAGACCAAAGAGGGGGACCUUCGGGCCUCUUGCCAUCGGAUGUGCCCAGAUGGGAUUAGCUUGUUGGUGGGGUAACGGCUCACCAAGGCGACGAUCCCUAGCUGGUCUGAGAGGAUGACCAGCCACACUGGAACUGAGACACGGUCCAGACUCCUACGGGAGGCAGCAGUGGGGAAUAUUGCACAAUGGGCGCAAGCCUGAUGCAGCCAUGCCGCGUGUAUGAAGAAGGCCUUCGGGUUGUAAAGUACUUUCAGCGGGGAGGAAGGGAGUAAAGUUAAUACCUUUGCUCAUUG
rnacentral:rRNA from 1 species